rnacentral:misc_RNA from 1 species
GCUUUCAGUUGAAAUGGGAUUGAGAGAAUUAGCAUCUCUAAAGGUUGAAGAUGCAACUGUGCUUGCAUUGGCACAACAUAGACGUCCAAGUUUGAUUCAUCAAUCAGAUUCAAAAGCACUUGUUGAUCCGAAGUUUUCUGAGGCUUUUGGCUUGGCUUACAUACUUUUGGAGAAGAGCGAAGGCAUAUGGUGUGGAUGAGGAUGUUGCAGAUGAGCGGCUCCAGUUUUGGAUCAGUCGUAGUGGACAGCCUCCAACUUCACAUGAUGCCGUGGAUGUUGAACGAGGGCUUGUAGAGCUCAGAAAGCUUGGAAUAGAACAACAGCUUUGGGAGGCAUCUAGAAAGGAAAUCGAUCAAUCUUCUGCAUUCUCACUCAGUAAUCACAAAUCUGCAAAAGAAUUAGACACAUUAUCCUGAAAGAUCCCUGGAG